GAUGAACGCUGGCGGCGUGCCUAAUACAUGCAAGUCGAGCGAAUGGAUUAAGAGCUUGCUCUUAUGAAGUUAGCGGCGGACGGGUGAGUAACACGUGGGUAACCUGCCCAUAAGACUGGGAUAACUCCGGGAAACCGGGGCUAAUACCGGAUAACAUUUUGAACCGCAUGGUUCGCGAUUGAAAGGCGGCUUCGGCUGUCACUUAUGGAUGGACCCGCGUCGCAUUAGCUAGUUGGUGAGGUAACGGCUCACCAAGGCAACGAUGCGUAGCCGACCUGAGAGGGUGAUCGGCCACACUAGGACUGAGACACGGCCCAGACUCCUACGGGAGGCAGCAGUAGGGAAUCUUCCGCAAUGGACGAAAGUCUGACGGAGCAACGCCGCGUGAGUGAUGAAGGCUUUCGGGUCGUAAAACUCUGUUGUUAGGGAAGAACAAGUGCUAGUUGAAUAAGCUGGCACCUUGACAGUACCUAACCAGAAAGCCACGGCUAACUACGUGCCAGCAGCCGCGGUAA
rnacentral:rRNA from 1 species